GCAGGCCUAACACAUGCAAGUCGAACGGUAACAGGAAGCAGCUUGCUGUUUCGCUGACGAGUGGCGGACGGGUGAGUAAUGUCUGGGAAACUGCCUGAUGGAGGGGGAUAACUACUGGAAACGGUAGCUAAUACCGCAUAACGUCGCAAGACCAAAGAGGGGGACCUUCGGGCCUCUUGCCAUCGGAUGUGCCCAGAUGGGAUUAGCUAGUAGGUGGGGUAACGGCUCACCUAGGCGACGAUCCCUAGCUGGUCUGAGAGGAUGACCAGCCACACUGGAACUGAGACACGGUCCAGACUCCUACGGGAGGCAGCAGUGGGGAAUAUUGCACAAUGGGCGCAAGCCUGAUGCAGCCAUGCCGCGUGUAUGAAGAAGGCCUUCGGGUUGUAAAGUACUUUCAGCGGGGAGGAA
rnacentral:rRNA from 1 species